UGUGGCCGCAGCUGGCUCCUCAUCCCUGGGGCUUCUCCUGACACCGAGACAAAAGGAUACCAUGGAGAAAGAAAAAAGUUAAAGAAGCUUCUGAAUCUCAGAACCUGGAGAAGGAUGUAGAAACCACCAGUCCUGUCAGUGUGAAGAGGAAGCAUAGAGUUGAAGAUGCAUUCAUUGUGAUAUCUGAUAGUGAUGGAGAGGAAGCAAAGGAGAAAACUGAGUUCCAGAAAAUGAAGACAAAACAAUCAAAUAGAGCAAAGUGUUUGGCUAAAAGAAAAACUGCACAGAUGACAGAACAGUUUGCUUUGGCUCUCAAAAUGAGUGAGCAGGAAGCUAGGGAUAUGAACAGCCAGGAAGAGGAAGAAGAAGACUUGAGGAAAGCCAUUGCUGAAAGCCUGAAUAUAAAUAUGUUAUGUUGCACAAAUUUCUUCCCAAGGGCUAUUUGUUGAAGAAACUUUUGAAGAAGGCAACUCUGUGCCUGGUUCACAAAGCAUUGCUACUUUGACCAGUAAGAGAAGGUUACUCCUUAUGCCAAAGAGUUCUGCAGAAGAAAUCACUGUUCUGUUCUGGACACUGGGGAAUCCAAGAUCAAAGCAUCGGCAGAUUUGAUGUCUGAGACACAGCUAAGUUCCCCUGAAACUUUUGACCUUGAAAGAGAAGACUCUUCAGGUAGUCAGAAGACCCUGGAUGAAGUAAAAAUAAUAAUGAGAGCUAAGGAGGUUGGUAACAGGGAAGAGGCUGAGAAGGAAACACCUGUUUCUACCUUUUCAUCUAGUAACCAGAUAUCAUGCCCACUGUGUCACCAAGGCUUCCCAGCCACAAAGAAUGAGCAACAUGCUAUGUACUGCAAUGGUCUAAUGGAGCAAGAUGCAGUGUUGACUCAGAGACAAAGAGAGGCCAAGAGCAAGAGUGACAGAGGGACAGCUGCACAGAUUUUCCUAGACAUUGACAACUUGCAAGGGGUGACCAAGGAGAUGGGCCUGAAGGGAGUGGUAAAGCAUGUCCAACUGUGA
rnacentral:lncRNA from 1 species